rnacentral:misc_RNA from 1 species
AAGUCGUAACAAGGUUUCCGUAGGUGAACCUGCGGAAGGAUCAUUAAAGAAAUUCGGCUUCGCGGCCAAGUUCUCACCCUUUGUAUACCGAAACUAUGUUGCUUUGGCAGGCCCCCUGCAUUUCCGGGCCCUGCCAGAGGUAUAAACCCUAAAUAUCUGCUGUCUGAGUACUAACAAUAGUUAAAA